GCUCUUGUAGCUCAAGAAGAGCUGGGAGAUGCCGGUUCAAAUCCGGCCGAGAGCA
rnacentral:tRNA from 1 species